GAGGCUGAAUAUUUUUGGGCAGGAAAUAAUCUAAGGAGAUGCUUGAAGUGUGCUCAUAAAACCUCACCCAUAUUGAUGCACCUAAUCACUACUUCAAGUAUUUUGCUGAUUAGACUGAAUCCAGAGCAGAAUGAUCAAAGGGAUUUUAUUGUUUUGCUUGUCUAUACAUGAUCAAUGUUCUUGGUUGAACCUUAUUUUCUUAAGAAAACACAGCACUUGUUUGCAAAUGACCAUGUGGGCAUGAAUAUUUGAUUCUAAGAGGGUCAUCCAGUAUGAUGUUGUUUAUUUUUGGCAAAGGAAAGUUGACUAUUUUACCGGAAGUGCCACCCCACCAAGCAUUGAUGAGUUCAUGCAUGCAUCAAGAUCAGAGAACUUUGGCUACAAUUUGAUGAGAGCCAUCGAUGGUCGUCUCCAACACAUAACCUAUAUAUGAUAGCAUGCUAAGGAACAGAAGAAAUUCUGCAAAAUUUUUGUAGGCCUCAAGCCAGUCUUUUAAGAGUUUGGAAGGCGGCUGACGAGCCUGGAUCCAUUGUCAUCCCUUGAGGAAGUAUUUGAAGUUGAGAGAGAAGAAAGCAGGCAGGAAGAGUCUGAAAGCCUCAACAUUGGUAGUCUAAGCACCAUAAAUCAGUGAGUAUAUGUUAAGGAAACCUGGUAUAGACCAUGGUCUGACCAUUGUCAUAUAUUUGGCACACUAAAGACAGAUUCUGAAAUAUCAUGGGAGGCUAGCAAAUUCCGAGGAGAAACCACAAGCGGAGAUGCAUAAGUUCAGUAAUCAGUAGCUUAAAAAUGGUGCUAUAGCAUACACGUGUGCGUGUGUCUGCUAGGCAGCAGCACUGUGCAAAUAAAGUCCAUAAGAAAUGCUUCGCAAAUUGGUUGGCAAUCAAUUGCAGUAGCCAACAUAAGGCAAUAAUGCAUCUAUUCUGGUUGCUAGCAUAUGUGAUCCAUCAUUGGCUCUAAACUCAGAAAAUUCACGACAGUAAUGCUUGGCUAGUUGACUUGGAAGCUGCAGGCCACAUAACUGGUAAAUCUUCUGUCUGGAACUGUUCACGUUGUAAGGUGGUAUUGCUGUGACUCUUACUAACGGAUCGGGGUUUAAAGUUAGUGGUUAAAGUGCACUCGAGUUAUUUGAAACACUAGUCUUUCGAAAUAUGCUCCUGGUUUCUAAUUUGACAUGUAACUUGUUUAUAAGAUAAACCCGCUAAUCUUAAAUGUAAAAACUAGUUGGAAUUUGUUUUAAUUUUAAAUGUAAGACAUCAAUUUAUUUUGUA